CCUACGGGGGGCAGCAGUGAGGAAUAUUGGUCAAUGGGCGGGAGCCUGAACCAGCCAAGUCGCGUGAGGGACGACGGUCCUAUGGAUUGUAAACCUCUUUUGUCGGGGAACAAAGGCGCCCACGGGUGGGCGGAUGAGUGUACCCGAAGAAAAAGCAUCGGCUAACUCCGUGCCAGCAGCCGCGGUAAUACGGAGGAUGCGAGCGUUAUCCGGAUUUAUUGGGUUUAAAGGGUGCGCAGGCGGACCAUCAAGUCAGCGGUAAAAUCGUGGGGCCCAACCCCAUCCCGCCGUUGAAACUGGCGGUC
rnacentral:rRNA from 1 species